AGAGAGAGACAUGCGCGCAUAUCAAUAAGCGGAGGAAAAGAAACUAACUAGGAUUCCCUCAGUAACGGCGAGUGAAGCGGGAAGAGCUCAAAUUUGAAAUCUUCAAGGUUCUACCUUGACGAAUUGUAGUUUAAAGAAGUGUUUUCUGUUGGAGUUUUGGUAAAAGUUCUUUGGAAUAGGACAUCAUAGAGGGUGAGAAUCCCGUAUUUGACCAUUAUUUCCAGCUUUGUGAUACACUUUCAAAGAGUCGGAUUGUUUGGGAAUGCAGUCCAAAAUGGGUGGUAAAUUUCAUCUAAAGCUAAAUACUGGCGAGAGACCGACAGCGAACAAGUACCGUGAGGGAAAGAUGAAAAGAACUUUGAAAAGAGAGUUAAACAGUACGUGAAAUUGUCAAAAGGGAAGCGUUUGACACCAGUGUUGUUUUCUCGAAAAUCAAUUAAAAAAGGCAGGAUUUUGUGUUGUAUUGACCUUUAAUCAGCUUUCUGCACUUCAAUUUUCUUGUCUUUUUUUAAUGCACUUUUCGUUUAACAAGUCAACAUCAGUUUCUUUUGUUGUAAAAAGGGUCAUUGGAAGGUGGCUUUCUUUUCGGAGAAAGUGUUUAUAGCCUUUGGCCUCCUGCAAUCGGAGAGACUUGAGGUCUGCAGCGUAGAUCCUUCGGGGUUAGAUACAUUUGUGCUAAGUUAUAGCCUUUUCAUAGACAACUUGUUGACUAUGAUCAGUCCUGUAGCUUACUCGCUUAUGCUAUUUUACCUACGCUUAGGAUGUUGAUGUGAUACUGCGAGCA
rnacentral:rRNA from 1 species